CGCGCACAGGGAAGGUGGGCGUCACGCAAAAAUGCGAGCCAGGGACUGAGGUUACGACCUGCCGUUUGCGCCUAGGGCCGGUUCAGAGCCACCCGUGGUGCGAUAACAUCCUACCGAUGCCAUCUGGAAGAAUUCAGAAGGAUGGAGGACUCGCUAACUGAACUUCAUCUAUCUCUGGACAACUUGAUGUAAAAAUAGCCGCGACUGAAAUCGUCUGAAACGCUGAAAGCUCGCAUGUGCCGUGGGACAUAUUUAUCCAAACCUGAGCCACGGCCUCCGACUUGAGGAAGCGGAACACCCCCGCCGCCCGGUCCUCCCACUUUAUCAGACCCGGGUUCCUGUCGGGGUGCAGCAGGAUGUCCCGGAUGAACUCCCACAGCUUCAUGGUGGCCUGCUUUACUGGCACGGACUCUCAUUUGGUCCUCGUGCCUGAGAGACAACAGCAGCCUCCAAAGGCAAAUCCACACCUACAAUCAACUCUCAAGCUUUUGUGAGCUUUUUUAUGCAUGAACUAAUGAAGCAAAGACACACAGCUGGCCAAGAAACAGCUGAGCAGCCAGAUCUCCUGAUAUGGGUGUAAAUACCCUCUAAUUAAAGCAGACUGUCUGAACCUACGCUCAUAAUCACGGUUUUAUUUCAAAUCCACUGU